rnacentral:rRNA from 1 species
GAUGAACGCUGGCGGCGUGCCUAAUACAUGCAAGUCGAGCGAACGGACGAGAAGCUUGCUUCUCUGAUGUUAGCGGCGGACGGGUGAGUAACACGUGGAUAACCUACCUAUAAGACUGGGAUAACUUCGGGAAACCGGAGCUAAUACCGGAUAAUAUUUUGAACCGCAUGGUUCAAAAGUGAAAGACGGUCUUGCUGUCACUUAUAGAUGGAUCCGCGCUGCAUUAGCUAGUUGGUAAGGUAACGGCUUACCAAGGCAACGAUGCAUAGCCGACCUGAGAGGGUGAUCGGCCACACUGUAACUGAGACACGGUCCAGACUCCUACGGGAGGCAGCAGUAGGGAAUCUUCCGCAAUGGGCGAAAGCCUGACGGAGCAACGCCGCGUGAGUGAUGAAGGUCUUCGGAUCGUAAAACUCUGUUAUUAGGGAAGAACAUAUGUGUAAGUAACUGUGCACAUCUUGACGGUACCGAAUCAGAAAGCCACGGCUAACUACGUG